CCUACGGGGGGCAGCAGUGGGGAAUAUUGGACAAUGGGCGAAAGCCUGAUCCAGCCAUGCCGCGUGUGUGAAGAAGGCCUUCGGGUUGUAAAGCACUUUCAGUGGGGAAGAAAGCCUUGGGGCUAAUACCCUCGAGGAAGGACAUCACCCACAGAAGAAGCACCGGCUAACUCCGUGCCAGCAGCCGCGGUAAUACGGAGGGUGCGAGCGUUAAUCGGAAUUACUGGGCGUAAAGCGCGCGUAGGCGGUCUGAUAAGCCGGUUGUGAAAGCCCCGGGCUCAACCUGGGAACGGCAUCCGGAACUGUCAGGCUAGAGUGCGGGAGAGGAAGAUAGAAUUCCCCGUGUAGCGGUGAAAUGCGUAGAGAUCGGGAGGAAUACCAGUGGCGAAGGCGGCCUUCUGGACUGACACUGACGCUGAGGUGCGAAAGCGUGGGUAGCAAACAGGAUUAGAUACCCCGGUAGUC
rnacentral:rRNA from 1 species